rnacentral:rRNA from 3 species
UACGUAGGGGGCAAGCGUUAUCCGGAUUUACUGGGUGUAAAGGGAGCGUAGACGGUGAUGUAAGUCAGAUGUGAAAGCCCGGGGCUCAACCCCGGGACUGCAUUUGAAACUAUGUUGCUAGAGUGCAGGAGAGGUAAGUGGAAUUCCUAGUGUAGCGGUGAAAUGCGUAGAUAUUAGGAGGAACACCAGUGGCGAAGGCGGCUUACUGGACUGUAACUGACGUUGAGGCUCGAAAGCGUGGGGAGCAAACAGG